rnacentral:lncRNA from 1 species
AUAGAAUGUGGAACUUCCUUUUUAUUAAUUGUUAGUCUCAGAAUGAUAAGCAUUAGCAUAUCUAUGUGUUUAUUGUUAUAAGGAUUGUUCUGGUACUUUCUUUUGGGAAACCUUAAUCAUUUUCCUGCUGGGCUCUUCGCUUUCUCAUGCAGUGCAAAAUACAGCCAUCGAGGAAUGCAAAAAGAUGUGCUUUUCUUUCAUCAAACCCUUUGAAAUAGAUUUCACUCUGGCCUGCCCUUGUACAUUCUCGAUGAGGUUGGAUCCUAAACACACAGUGAAACUGAGAUCAGGGUCCAAAUAUUGCAAAUUGAAGCCGCAAAGAGAGUUUCUGAUGCGUUGAAUGGCGCUCUUGCCUGUGAGUAAAAUUUCUCAUAGUAGCAGGAUAUAUAGCACAUUAUUAUUAGUAUUGUUGUUGUGUAUUAAUUAGAGUUAAAAGAUUUGGAAUGGAAAAUAAGGGUAAGGUGUUGAUGCAAAAGUAUGAGAUUGGGAGAUUGUUAGGCCAAGGAAACUUUGCUAAGGUUUAUCAUGCAAGGCACCUCCAAACUGGCCAGAAUGUAGCCAUUAAGGUAAUUAACAAAGAGAAGGUUACGAAAGUUGGCCUAACUGAUCAAACUAAAAGAGAGAUAUCUGUUAUGAGAUUGGUUAAACACCCAAACAUAGUGCAGCUUUAUGAGGUCAUGGCUACCAAAACCAAGAUCUACUUUGUUUUGGAAUAUGUCAAAGGUGGUGAGCUUUUUCACAAGGUAUCAAAAGGAAGGCUCAAGGAGGACAUGGCAAGGAUGUAUUUUCAGCAGCUGAUCAGUGCUGUUGAUUUUUGCCACAGCAGAGGUGUUUAUCACCGUGAUUUGAAGCCGGAGAACUUGCUGUUAGAUGAAAAUGGAACAUUAAAGAUAUCAGAUUUUGGGUUGAGUGCCCUUGCUGAAUCUAAGAGGCAAGAUGGCCUAUUGCACACAACUUGCGGAACUCCUGCCUAUGUAGCUCCUGAAGUUGUAGGUAGAAAAGCCUAUGAUGGUGAAAAAGCUGACAUUUGGUCUUGUGGGGUGAUCUUAUAUGUACUAUUGGCUGGUUGCCUGCCAUUCCAUGAUACAAAUCUUAUACAAAUGUAUAAGAAAAUAGGCAAAGCCGAGUAUAAAUGCCCCAGUUGGUUUUCAGUUGAAGUGCGCAAGCUUCUGUCAAGAAUCCUCAACCCCAACCCAAAUAAAAGGAUUCUCAUUUCAAACGUAAUGGAAAGUCCUUGGUUUAGAAAAGGGUUCAGCUCCAAAUCCAUUACAACUAUAACAGAAGUCGAAAAACGGGCUUUGGUGGAUGUUGAUGCAGCAUUUGAUAAUUGUGACAGCAGUGAUCAUAAUACUGAGGCAAAGCAAGAGUUGGCCAGACCUACCAAUUUGAAUGCUUUUGAUAUCAUCUCUCUUUCAAGUGGAUUUGAUUUGUCUGGUUUGUUUAUGGGAAAAGAUACAAAGAAAGAAGCACAGUUCACAUCUGUGCAGUCUGCCUCAUCAAUUAUAUCUAAGCUGGAGGACAUUGCCCAGCAGCUGAGGCUGAAAGUAAACAAGGAUGGAGGGUUAUUGAAAUUGGAGAAAUCCAAGGAUGGCAGGAAGGGGGCAUUGUCCAUAGAGACUGAAAUUUUUGAGUUCACUCCAUCCUUCUAUCUAGUUGAGAUGAAGAAAUCCAAUGGUGAUACAUUGGAAUUUAAGAAGAUACUGAAGGAGGAUAUAAGACCAGCUCUCAAAGAUAUUGUGUGGGCAUGGCAAGGUGAGGAGAAACAGUAACAAAACAACAACAGCAGCAUUCUUCCCAACUGUGAUAUAUCUCAUUAUUCUUGAGUGAUCUAAAGCUUUUCUAAUUUUGAAGUUUUGUUUUACUGUGAUAUAUUAUUAUUAUAUCUGGCCUCAAUUGAAACUGCAAGGUUCAAGUCAAAUAUUAUUAUGAGUGAGGCCUAAAAUCUUCCCUUUUAUCAGUCUAAUCUUUAACAAAAUAUCAAAGCUUAUACCUGAGCUCAAUAUAAACACAAUCUUUAUAUGUACAUUUUCUGCAUUUCCCAUACAAUAUUUGGAAACCAUGGCAAAGUUUAUAAGCUAACCUUCAUCACAAAUUCAGACCCAUCAGGUGGACUCAACUAUUUGGGCAAUACUUCUUGCCUGCUUCCCGAUAAAGAGAUCUUCCUGUCAAUAACAGAAAUGUGGAAGUUCCUACUUACAAAGGGAGGAGGAAAGUAUUUUCCCUAUUCGGGUCUCAGAUUCUUUAUCACCAUACGCAGAGCCAUGGAUAGGUUUGGCUAGGCUCUGAACUUUUUUGGGCUCAAGCCAUGAAUUGUAUUGAAAUGGCUAGUGACAAAACAUAUCCAUUUUACACAUCUUUAUCCACACAACCAAAAAAAAAUUAUUUGAGUCACUUGUCAUGAUAAAGGUAUCCGACUUUUUAUCAUCAUCAUCAUUUGGAGCAGCUGGCAUGAACCCAUGUUAGCAUAUUCCAUCUGAUUGCUGCACCUGCAUGGCACCAAAUUAAGCAAGAUGCACAAAAAAGAAAGGAAAAAAAAAAAGCACGACAUUGUGAAGCAUAUUUCUAUUUUAGUUUUGCCACCCCUAAAUUCCAAGACCUUAAAAACCAACCAUUUUUAAUUGGUUAAUCAUCAGAAUCUGGUCAACAAGAAUCAUCGACUUGGGAUGGGCCAACACAUGGUUGGCCACGUGACCCCCUCCUUCGAAUUUGGUGGAAUCAAAGGGCAGGUAAUGCUGCU